UCGGUCAGGCGAUGAAGGCAGCAGCAGAAGCUGCUAGAGGAGUGCUCUGGC
rnacentral:SRP_RNA from 1 species